UUGACGCCGCGAUUGCCGCAACCCGCAAUUUCUUUGAGCAAUUAGGCGUGCCGACCCACCUCUCCGACUACGGUCUGGACGGCAGCUCCAUCCCGGCUUUGCUGAAAAAACUGGAAGAGCACGGCAUGACCCAACUGGGCGAAAAUCAUGACAUUACGCUGGAUGUCAGCCGCCGUAUAUACGAAGCCGCCCGCUAAGCUUUUUACGCUCAAACUUUCGUUUUCGGCUGGGGGUGAAAGGCCAAUCAAACCGGGAGAUAGCUGGUUCYCCCGAAAGCUAUUUAGGUAGCGCCUCGUGAAUUCAUCUCCGGGGGUAGAGCACUGUUUCGGCAAGGGGGUCAUCCCGACUUACCAACCCGAUGCAAACUGCGAAUACCGGAGAAUGUUAUCACGGGAGACACACGGCGGGUGCUAACGUCCGUCGUGAAGAGGGAAACAACCCAGACCGCCAGCUAAGGUCCCAAAGUCAUGGUUAAGUGGGAAACGAUGUGGGAAGGCCCAGACAGCCAGGAUGUUGGCUUAGAAGCAGCCAUCAUUUAAAGAAAGCGUAAUAGCUCACUGGUCGAGUCGGCCUGCGCGGAAGAUGUAACGGGGCUAAACCAUGCACCGAAGCUGCGGCAGCGACACUAUGUGUUGUUGGGUAGGGGAGCGUUCUGUAAGCCUGUGAAGGUGUACUGUGAGGUAUGCUGGAGGUAUCAGAAGUGCGAAUGCUGACAUAAGUAACGAUAAAGCGGGUGAAAAGCCCGCUCGCCGGAAGACCAAGGGUUCCUGUCCAACGUUAAUCGGGGCAGGGUGAGUCGACCCCUAAGGCGAGGCCGAAAGGCGUAGUCGAUGGGAAACAGGUUAAUAUUCCUGUACUUGGUGUUACUGCGAAGGGGGGGACGGAGAAGGCUAUGUUGGCCGGGCGACGGUUGUCCCGGUUUAAGCGUGUAGGCUGGUUUUCCAGGCAAAUCCGGAAAAUCAAGGCUGAGGCGUGAUGACGAGGCACUACGGUGCUGAAGCAACAAAUGCCCUGCUUCCAGGAAAAGCCUCUAAGCAUCAGGUAACAUCAAAUCGUACCCCAAACCGACACAGGUGGUCAGGUAGAGAAUACCAAGGCGCUUGAGAGAACUCGGGUGAAGGAACUAGGCAAAAUGGUGCCGUAACUUCGGGAGAAGGCACGCUGAUAUGUAGGUGAAGCGACUUGCUCGUGGAGCUGAAAUCAGUCGAAGAUACCAGCUGGCUGCAACUGUUUAUUAAAAACACAGCACUGUGCAAACACGAAAGUGGACGUAUACGGUGUGACGCCUGCCCGGUGCCGGAAGGUUAAUUGAUGGGGUUAGCGCAAGCGAAGCUCUUGAUCGAAGCCCCGGUAAACGGCGGCCGUAACUAUAACGGUCCUAAGGUAGCGAAAUUCCUUGUCGGGUAAGUUCCGACCUGCACGAAUGGCGUAAUGAUGGCCAGGCUGUCUCCACCCGAGACUCAGUGAAAUUGAACUCGCUGUGAAGAUGCAGUGUACCCGCGGCAAGACGGAAAGACCCCGUGAACCUUUACUAUAGCUUGACACUGAACAUUGAGCCUUGAUGUGUAGGAUAG
rnacentral:rRNA from 1 species